rnacentral:lncRNA from 1 species
AAGGGCAGCAGUAGCCCGUCGCUGCACGUGUAGUUGGCGCCGGAGUCCAUCGCUGCAGCUAUGUCCUUGUCAGGAGGAACAUGUGUCCAACUGGUAUU